GUAAAAAGUAAUUUAAUCAUAAUAAAUUGACUCUAAUUGGCCACAUACCAGUAUACCAAUAAUCGGCUGUCUGCUCUCCCUUUCUUGGGUUUGUUAUUUCACUCUUUAGGUCUUUUUUCAAUGUGCAAAAUAUUGAGUGGGAAGAUGAAGAAAAUGUUUUUGUCUUUUUUGGAAUGAUGCCAUUGUAACCCUACUGCUGUUUCAUGGGUGUGGAGGGUUUGUUGUUAUUUUUUUGAGUAUAUUUUUGGGGGCUUUGCCUUUAUUGGAUAGGACAUCUGAAGAUAGACAGGAAAGGGGGAAAGAAAGGGAAUGAGAGGUAUGGGGCCGCAGGUCAGAUCUGAACCCAUAGUGACCGCAGCAAGGACAUUAGUACAUGGUUGACAGCUCUACCGGGUGAGCUACCUGUGUAGAGGGUUUGAGGGUCUUUUCAUAGAACUGUCAAAAUAAGAAAAGGGAGGAAUUUAUAGAAAAUGAAACACCUGUGUUGUAAUGUAUAGUUGUGAACAAGAAUGUGUAUGAAUAGUUUGCGUGGAUGUGUGAUUAUGCACCUGCAAACAUAAUUUUUUUCUCAUGCGUGUCCUGUGUGUUGUAGAGUAAGUAAAGUAAGAGGGUGAACUUUGUGUAAAGUUAUGAGAAUUUUGUGUGUGUGUGAAAUGUGAUCAACCCUAUGAAAACAUCCCUAUGAAUAUUAUAUUCCAUUUAGAGCUUUGAUGACCUUUAACAGCACCAUUAUGGUAGUAAUAAUCCCAUUUAUUGUGGUCUGAAAUAGCCCAUAUCAUAGCUUCCUCCUGUGUUUGACAUACUCAGCCUUCACCACAGCAGAACCCUUAGCUGCAAAAAGCUCAUCCAUUAGCUCACAUAGCCAGGCUGAUAACACAUGUGUGGAGGGUAAACAACACUGUUUGCUUUCCUCACUCAAAACAUCCAUUUGAACUGCUAAACUGGACAUUUUUCAUCUGCUUUCACGAAGACGGAGCUGCUCUGAAUUCUGAGCAAAUAGUGAUUCAACUGUGGAGGACGAUGACACUUCCAAAAUGUCUGUCGCUUAUGGCGUAUUACACAUCAUGCUGCAUGCUGUCAUGGCACAGUAAUUGCCGGAACCUUUGCAGGUCGGAUCUACCCCUGCUGCACCCCAAAGUGUUCCAUUCCAGUCAUCACAACAACAGCUGGUAUUGAUAAGGCAACUAUUUCAGUAUUGAGUUAUUCAACCACAAUCCUCAGGGGACACAGCCAUCGACCCCUGCGACACAGCAGACUGUCAUGCUGCAAAAGUACAAACAAGUGGGCAUGUGGGUGAGUCGUGUCAUUUCAAAUAUAUGAAUAUAUUCAUGUGGAUUCAUUGUGUUCCAGCAGCACAGAAACAUAAAACACACAUUAAAAAGAACAUAACACAUUACAAUUUAUCAUAAUUUGAUAAUUUGAUGACAAUGAUGAUGUCUUCCACUCUCUUUUUUGGUUGGACAACAAGCUGAUCUUCCUGUAUUAUUAGUUCUAAUAAUAUCUAUCCAAAUCCUCUUUAACUAGUUGCCAAAGUAGAUUUCCUUUCAUAGAACUAUGGCACAGGAGUCACUUUCACUGGGUGAAAUGCACUAAUUCAAUGUAUUUUCACACAGAGCAUACUGUGGAAACACAAACCAAAGCCUAGUUAUAUUAUAAUUUGUGUCAUUUAUAUUACAAUUUCAAUUUAUUCCAAAUUUGACCCAGUGAGAUCAGAAUAUAAGAGCAUUUAAAUAUUCCCUCCACUCCCCUAUUAUACUAAAUCAUAUUUAACAAUGAUAGGAUGGAGCUGUGACGUGUACAGGAAGUAAUGCAUGGAAGUGCAUUUGUUCAAACCUCAAAGCUAGAGGGAUCUCUGAUUUUAUUGUGGCAUGUGCGAAACUUCAAGCACGCCCUCUAGUGGCGUAAAUAACACACAACAAUGUUUGUAGCACACAUGGGGUUAUGUACUGACUGAGCGUCUGUGGCAUCCAGCAUCAGAAACUGUAUGAGAGCUGCCUGAUCAGAUUCUGUUAAAUGUUGUUUGAUCAGACAGGUCCUGAUUAGAAUUGAAAUUUUGCUCAUUUUAGAUAAUUAGACAAUAAACAAACAACAUUCUUGUAAAUUUAACAUUAACAUUAACAUCAUUAUUGUUACAUGGCACAGGGUUCUGUAGAAAAUAGGUUUAUAACUGUAUGUUUUGGUACUGGUAUCAAUUCAAAACUCUACUGUAUUUGCACCACUAUUGAUAAAUAUAUGAUACCCAGCCAUAAACGUACAAGACUAAAGUGCUGUACAAUUGUCAAGACAAGAGGAGACAAAAACUGACUGUUUGUUGUAAGAUACAAAAAAGAAUGAAUCCGGGUAACACAUUAGUGUAAUUCCACAGAGCACACAUUUGGAUGAUUCCUUAUUCUUUCUGUAAAAAAAUAUAAAAAAUUGUAACAUCAUCAGCCUUAGCUGACUGCUUCAGAUUCAGCUGUCUUUCAGAACAUAUGAUCUUCAAGCAGGAACAAAGUAACAUGUACACAGGAGGGUAAACGGACCUUUUAGUGAUAUUGUUGUUGUUGUUGUUGUUGUUGGUGUUACAAAUGCUCACUUCCUUCAGAUGCACUCGUUUAGACUGCAUGAAUAAUUCAAAAUAUACUGUACAAUGAACUCAAGUCUUGUGAUUGCAUGUCCACCCAUCUACCCCGACACUACCUAACAGCCCAGCAUCACUGCAGCAGACAGAUCAUCAGGCUGCAUCCUCUUUUCCAUUUCCAUUCACCUUUUGACAGCGGUGGAAGAAAUACUCAUAUAUUUUACUUAACUAAAAGUAUAAAGACAGGUUAACAUCAAAAUAUACUUAAACUACCAAAGGUAAAAGUACUCACUGUGCAGAACCAUGACCUGCUGUAUAAGAAAAUACUAUGCAAUUUAAUAUAACCUUGAUUACACUUAUAAUCUGAAUCUGUAAAAUAACUAGAAAUUAAAGCUGUAAAAUAAAUGUAAUAAAAAGUAUAAUAUUUGCCUCUCAAAGGGAUUAAAGUGUAUAAUAGUAAAUUAACUUAGUUACUUUCCACCACUGCUUGUUUACCUAGACUGCAGACACCAAGUCACCAGUGCUGCAGCAAGUACAAGAUCCCUCACUGGCUUCCCACUGGUGAACAGUUGGGGUCAGGAAGUGAACAGAGGUUUCUGGAGAAGCUGCUGAGUUACCUUUCUACUGAACAAACUGUGCACCCCUACCAGUGCGCUUAACUUUAAUAACUGUACCUUUAGUUACACUAAUACCUUCAUUGUGGAUAGAACAGUUAGCAGUGAUGGAGAUUUACUCAAGUUCUGUACUGUACACUUUAUCUAACUUUAUAUUUCUCCACAACAUCUCAGAGAGAAAUAUUGUUAGAUUCCUGCACUUACUUUGCAGAUGAAGAAAGUAAACACAAAAGACAAUAUUUACAGCCAGUGUUUAGUUUAUCCGUUCUGGGCUACUGUAGAAACAUGGCAGACUCUGCAGAACAGGACCCGCUUCGCCUGUGGAGAAAAACAGCUCAUUGUAAGGCAAUGAACACACGAUUCCUAUAUUCAGGUGAUUAUACAUUACUGAAAACAUACCUGUGAAUAUUAUAUUAAAUUGCCAAUAGAUCCUCCUAAAUGUUACACACUUGACCUUGAAGUAAUAUUUUGAAUGGAGGACUUUUACUGGUAUUUUUUUUUUAAAUUGUGGUAUUUCUACUUUUACAAAAAAUAUAUGAAUACUUCAUCUACCACUGUUUGUUAUGUGGAUUAACUGUACACAUUUCUAAAGGAUAAUAGAUUGAUGGAUCCUUUAAUGGAUAAAGUAAUGUAUCGUUUCCAAGCUGUCUGAAAGUUUAGCUGUAUGAUAUUCUUUACCAGCCCUUACAAUUAACGGGUCUUAAUGAGUGAUGUUAUUCCGUCUUUAAUUACAUGCACAAAUCCAAUCUAGAGGGCGCACUCGACCCAAAGCUCGUCGAGUGGGAACAAAACGGUAGUCCCGCAGCUUCCGAGCAGCACGUGAAGGCACCGUGAGGUGAUAACAGACCGGGAGAGAGGAAGAAGAAGUGCUGUUUUUGCAACAUCGCUGCUGCCACGUCUGUAGGCUCCUCUGCAGCAGCAGCAGCAGCAGCGGCAGCAGCGGCGGGUCUCAGCGCCGGGAUGGGCCGGUGCUGGGCGGUGGGGGGAUGAUGAGAGGGAGAGGUGGGAGUGACUGAGGGGAGGAAGCAAAGAGGAAGACACGU
rnacentral:lncRNA from 15 species